rnacentral:rRNA from 1 species
UACGGGAGGCAGCAGUGGGGAAUAUUGCACAAUGGGCGCAAGCCUGAUGCAGCCAUGCCGCGUGUAUGAAGAAGGCCUUCGGGUUGUAAAGUACUUUCAGUCGUGAGGAAGGUGUUAAGGUUAAUAACCUUAGCAAUUGACGUUAGCGACAGAAGAAGCACCGGCUAACUCCGUGCCAGCAGCCGCGGUAAUACGGAGGGUGCGAGCGUUAAUCGGAAUUACUGGGCGUAAAGGGCACGCAGGCGGUUAAUUAAGUUGGAUGUGAAAUCCCCGGGCUUAACCUGGGAAUGGCAUUCAAGACUGGUUAGCUAGAGUCUUGUAGAGGGGGCAGAAUUCCAUGUGUAGCGGUGAAAUGCGUAGAAAUGUGGAGGAAUACCGGUGGCGAAGGCGGCCCCUGGACAAAGACUGACGCUCAUGUGCGAAAGCGUGGGGAGCAAACAGGGAUUAGAUACC